GUUUGGGAUCGCUAUCGGCAGGGUACGGAAGAGGUAUAAGAUGUGUGGCAUAAUCAUCAUCUUAAUAGUGUUUAUGCGACCCAGCCAAGAAAAUCCUUUAUCGUCCCAUUGUUUGAGUUGGAGAUCUAGUUUCUGUAAAAGUGGGAUAUGAUUCACUUUUGUUACUAAUGUGGGUGUGGCAGGUAAUUGAAUACCUAGAUACGAGAUCGAUGAUUUACGCCAGUCGAAUGGAUAUUCGGAUUUAAGGGUUUGUAGUGUGUGGUGUGGCAGGCGGAUUGCUAGGGCUUGUGAUUUUUUUCGCAUUAUUCCUAUAAUAUGACACCUUGCCAUAUCUGUCCAAAAGUGCCAGUAAAUUGGGGAGG